rnacentral:rRNA from 1 species
CCAGUUGGGUGUUUUACCAUGCAGUCGAACGGGAUGAUUUAGAAGCUUGCUUUUAGAGAAUCUAGUGGCAAACGGGUGAGUAACACGUAGACAACCUGCCGACAGGAUGGGGACAACAUUCCGAAAGGAAUGCUAAUACCGAAUGAAGCGGAGGAGAGGCAUCUCUCCUCCGUGAAAGAUGGCCUCUGAAUAUGCUAUCACCUGUCGAUGGGUCUGCGUCUGAUUAGCUGGUUGGUGAGGUAACGGCUCACCAAGGCGACGAUCAGUAGCCGGUCUGAGAGGAUGAACGGCCACAUUGGGACUGAGACACGGCCCAGACUCCUACGGGAGGCAGCAGUGGGGAAUCUUCCGCAAUGGGCGCAAGCCUGACGGAGCAACGCCGCGUGAGUGAAGAAGGUCUUCGGAUCGUAAAGCUCUGUUGAUGGGGACGAACGUGCGAAGGGUGAAUAAUCCUUUGUAAUGACGGUACCUAUCGAGGAAGCCACGGCUAACUACGUGCCAGCAGCCGCGGUAAUACGUAGGUGGCGAGCGUUGUCCGGAAUCAUUGGGCGUAAAGGGAGCGCAGGCGGGCAUGUAAGUCUUUCUUAAAAGUGCGGGGCUCAACCCCGUGAUGGGAAAGAAACUACAUGUCUUGAGUACAGGAGAGGAAAGCGGAAUUCCCAGUGUAGCGGUGAAAUGCGUAGAUAUUGGGAGGAACACCAGUGGCGAAGGCGGCUUUCUGGACUGCAACUGACGCUGA